AGAGUUUGAUCCUGGCUCAGAACGAACGCUGGCGGCGUGCCUAACACAUGCAAGUCGAACGGGAUUGAGAGCUUGCUCUCAUGAGAGUGGCGCACGGGUGAGUAACGCGUAUGCAACCUACCUAUAACUGAGGGAUAGCCCAUAGAAAUGUGGAUUAAUACCUCAUAGUUCUUUUGAUCCGCAUGGAUUAAAAGAUAAAGCUCCGGCGGUUAUAGAUGGGCAUGCGUGACAUUAGCUAGUUGGUAAGGUAACGGCUUACCAAGGCUACGAUGUCUAGGGGUUCUGAGAGGAUGAUCCCCCACACUGGUACUGAGACACGGACCAGACUCCUACGGGAGGCAGCAGUGGGGGGUAUUGGUCAAUGGGCGCAAGCCUGAACCAGCCAUCCCGCGUGCAGGAAGAAGGCCCUAUGGGUCGUAAACUGCUUUUAUACACCAAGAAAAACACCCA
rnacentral:rRNA from 1 species